UGCCGGUGAUGUGAACUCAAUUGUCCGUACCAUAUGAGCAUUUCUUCUGUGAAGAUUUCGCUGAUCUGUUCAUAGCUUCUGAGGUUU
rnacentral:snoRNA from 1 species